UACGAAGGGGGCUAGCGUUGCUCGGAAUUACUGGGCGUAAAGGGCGCGUAGGCGGAUGUUUAAGUUGGGGGUGAAAGCCCGGGGCUCAACCUCGGAACAGCCUUCAAUACUGGACAUCUUGAGUACGGGAGAGGUGAGUGGAACUCCGAGUGUAGAGGUGAAAUUCGUAGAUAUUCGGAAGAACACCAGUGGCGAAGGCGACUCACUGGCCCGUUACUGACGCUGAGGCGCGAAAGCGUGGGGAGCAAACAGGAUUAGAUACCCUGGUAGUCCACGCUGUAAACGAUGAGUGCUAGUUGUCGGCAUGCAUGCAUGUCGGUGACGCAGCUAACGCAUUAAGCACUCCGCCUGGGGAGUACGGUCGCAAGAUUAAA
rnacentral:rRNA from 1 species